UUUCUAAUUGCAGCAGUUUGCAAUGCUCCAACAGUAGCCAAAUACAUUCUUGCAAAAAUGGUAGAGGCAGGUACAUCUCUAGAAAGCUUAGUAGGCCAUUUAUCCAACUUCAACACCUCCUCUAAAGGCUCAACUGGAACUGCAUCAUGUGGUGCAUCUGAAACACUAACAUCCACAGCAUUAUUUGUAACAAUUGCACGAUUUUUCUUUGAAU
rnacentral:lncRNA from 1 species